AACCUUAUAGUUGAAUCUACAACAUUAAAUUGCAGCUUUAAAAGUGUAUCCUUACUAAGGUUU
rnacentral:tRNA from 1 species